rnacentral:rRNA from 1 species
UUCUUGAUGUCGGAUACGAGCCGGGGCAACUACGGGUGCUCACGCGCUCGCCAGACAAGCCCGCGUGCUUG